rnacentral:misc_RNA from 1 species
AAGUCGUAACAAGGUUUCCGUAGGUGAACUUGCGGAAGGAUCAUUAACACGUAUCCAAACGUUAAAACCCCCCCCGUGAACCUUCAUCCUGCUCUUGUAACCCGCGUAGUUCGCAAUCUCUGAUAAAUCAUAGCCCGGAAAGUUGUAGUGAUUCAGAGACCUCUGGCUAAAAUUGUGCAAGGAUAGCGCUUCUACGAUUCCUGUAGACCAUACACUCGGGCAGGAGCUUUGCCAAAGGGUCCCCGUGCCCCCUAAUAACCCCACAGUUUAAUGUGAAGCUCAAUGUAAUACAUUGGGUAAAAAAACCGAACAACUGUUAACAAUGGAUAUCUUGGUUCUC